CACGUAGGGUGCGAGCGUUGUCCGGAAUUAUUGGGCGUAAAGAGCUCGUAGGCGGUGUGUCGCGUCGGCCGUGAAAACCUGCAGCUUAACUGUGGGCUUGCGGUCGAUACGGGCAUCACUGGAGUUCGGCAGGGGAGACUGGAAUUCCUGGUGUAGCGGUGAAAUGCGCAGAUAUCAGGAGGAACACCGGUGGCGAAGGCGGGUCUCUGGGCCGUAACUGACACUGAGGGACGAAAGCUAGGGGAGCGAAAGGG
rnacentral:rRNA from 1 species